AUUGAACGCUGGCGGCAUGCUUUACACAUGCAAGUCGAACGGUAACAGCACUUCGGUGGCUGACGAGUGGCGAACGGGUGAGUAAUACAUCGGAACGUGCCUAGUAGUGGGGGAUAACUACUCGAAAGAGUAGCUAAUACCGCAUGAGAUCUAAGGAUGAAAGCAGGGGACCUUCGGGCCUUGCGCUACUAGAGCGGCUGAUGGCAGAUUAGGUAGUUGGUGGGAUAAAAGCUUACCAAGCCGACGAUCUGUAGCUGGUCUGAGAGGACGACCAGCCACACUGGGACUGAGACACGGCCCAGACUCCUACGGGAGGCAGCAGUGGGGAAUUUUGGACAAGGGGCGCAAGCCUGAUCCAGCAAUGCCGCGUGCAGGAUGAAGGCCUUCGGGUUGUAAACUGCUUUUGUACGGAACGAAAAGCCCUCUUCUAAUACAGGAGGGUCAUGACGGUACCGUAAGAAUAAGCACCGGCUAACUACGUG
rnacentral:rRNA from 1 species